UUGUAAUUUUGUUUUACUUGAACAAUCAUACCACACAAUCCCAGUCAAGUCAACAAAGCUAGCUAGCUUAUCUCUAGUCUCUGAAACUCCACACUCGCUUUCGAUUCUAAUAAUCAAGGCAACUAGUCUCUCCAGCUGCAACUCUUUCUACUUCUCUUCCUUCGAUUCCCCUGAUUCUUGAGCUCCAACGUGAUCAUGGCUGCUUCUUCUGCUCCUCCUGCUCCUAUCCUCCAUCCUCAAGAAAAGUAUGAUGUGUUUCUUAGUUUCAGAGGUGCAGAUACCCGCUACACUAUUACCAGCCAUCUUCAUGCUGCUUUACGUGGGAAGAAAAUCAAAACCUACAUAGACGACAAACUUGAGAGAGGAGAUGAAAUUGCACCCGCCCUUGUCGAAGCAAUCCACAAAUCGAAGCUUUCAGUAAUCAUUUUCUCGAAAAACUAUGCUUCUUCUACUUGGUGUUUGGAUGAACUUGUGCAUAUAUACUAGGAUGCAGAGAGAGAGAUGGACAGUUUGUUAUACCCAUUUUUUACGACAUUGAUUCAUCUCAUGUACGAAAACAGCUGGGGAGUUAUGCAGAUGCAUUUGCUAAACAUGAACAACGUUGGAAGGACAGUGUGGACAAGGUGCUCAUGUGGAGAUAUGCUUUGGAGAAAGCAGCCAAUCUAUCUGGGUUUGAUAAUUCAAACAAAACUAGGACGGAGGCACAUUUAGUUGAGACUCUUGUUGAAGAUAUUUUGACCAAACUGAAUCGAAAAUCCUCAAGUGAUUUAAAGGGCCUGGUUGCAAUUGAAAGCCAAAUUGAGCAAAUUGAAUCAUCCUUAUGCAUUGAUUCACCAGAGGUUUGCUUUGUAGGCAUUUGGGGCAUUGGUAUUGGCAAGACCACCCUUGCUGGUGCUGUAUAUAGUCGACUCUCUUCUAAAUUCAAGACUUCUUGUUUUCUUGCAAAUGUUAGGGAGGAAUCAGAAAAGCAUGGAUUAAAUCACUUGCGAAAUAAACUUCUUCGUGUGUUAUUAGAGGACGAAAAUCUUACAAUCGACACUCCAUCAAUAGGAUCAACUUUUGUUGGAGAGAGGCUUUGCCGUACAAAGGUCCUCAUUGUUCUUGAUGAUGUGAACGACAUGAGCCAAUUAGAACUUCUAGCUGGAGAUCAUGUUGGGUUUGGCCCUGGAAGUAGAAUCAUUAUAACAACUAGAAAUAGGCGCCUGCUUAAGAAGAAGGUUGAUGAUGAUAAGAUAUACAAGGUUAAAGGAUUACAUUGUGAUGAAGCUCUUCAGCUCUUUCAUUUUCAUGCCUUCAAAAAUAACUCUCCAAGAACCGAUUAUGCAGAGUUGUCAGAAAUGGUGGUAGAUUAUGCCGAAGGCAUUCCGUUAGCUCUUAAGAUUUUCGGUUCCUCAUUCCUUCACUGCAAGAGCAAAGAAGAAUGGGAAAAUGAACUGAAAAAAUUGAAAAACUUUCCCAGCAAAAAAAUUCAGAAUGUGUUGAGACUAAGUUAUGAUGGAUUAGACAAAAAUGAGAAGGAGAUAUUCCUUGAUAUAGCAUGUUUUUAUAAAGGAAUGAACGUGGAUUUUGUGAAAAGAAUGUUAGACAUUCGUGGUUUCUUUGUGGUGGGAAUUGGAGUUCUCAUUGAUACAUCUCUAAUAUCAAUUUCAACAAGUUACUGCCUAGAGAUGCAUGAUUUGGUACAAGAAAUCGGUUGGGAAAUUGUUCGCGAACAAUGUAUUGAGCCCGGAAAGCGCGAUAGGUUGUUCAUUGCUGAGGAUGUCUGUCAUGUACUCAAAAACAAUACAGCAACUGCGAUGGUUCAAGCCAUAUCCUUUAACACGUCUAACAUUAGAGAGCUACACUUGAAUCAUGCAGCCUUCAAAAAGAUGUACAAUCUAAGAUUGCUAGAAAUUUAUGAUUCUAGCUAUGGCCAGAAGUACUGCAAAUUAUACCUUUCUCAAGGUCUUCAGACUCUUCCUGAAUCUCUUAGGUAUCUUUACUGGGAUGGAUACCCUUUGAAAUCUUUGCCAUCAAAAUUUUCUCCAGAAAAUCUUGUUGAGCUCAAAAUGCCCCGCAGCCUGGUUAAGCAACUUGGGGAAGAAGACCUGAUUUAUCUCGGGAACUUAAAAUUGAUGGAUCUUAGUUUCUGCAAACAUCUGACAGAACUUCCAGAUCUUUCUCAGAGUCGAAAAAUGGAGCAUAUAAAUCUUUAUGGCUGUACAAGUUUGGUUCGAAUUCCUUCCUGUUUCCAGUAUCUUGGCAAUCUUACUUUUCUUGACCUGGGUUGCUGCUCAAAUCUCAAAUAUCUCCAGGAGAUGCCAGGCAAUAUUUAAUUAUUGAAUUUAGAAAGCACUGCAAUUGAGGAAUUGCCUUCAUCUGUUUGGUCUAACAAAAAAAUAUCUUUCUUGAAUAUUCAACGCUGUAAAUACCUUAAGAAUCUUCCCAGCAGCAGUUGCAAGCUAAAAUGCUUUGGUUUUAGUCUAGGGGGCUGCUCAUCUCUCGGUAAGAUUUCAGAACUUCCCAGGAAUAUAAGUGUAUUAGAUUUGAGUUGUACAGCAAUAGAAGUGGUGCCCUCAUCAAUCGAGUGUCUCUUUGGUCUCACUACAAUUUACCUGAAUGAUUGCAAAAGGCUUGUGAGUCUGCCAACCAGCAUUUUUAAGCUGAAAUCUCUUAAGAGUCUUGAUCUCAAUGGUUGCUCUAACUUUGAAUGCUUCCCCGACAUCUUGGAGCCUACUGUACAUCUGGAACUUCUUAAUUUAUCUAAAACUGCAGUUAAACAGCUACCCGUGGAGAUUGAAAAUCUGAUUGGGCUUCAAACAUUAAACCUAUGCCGGUGCAAGGACCUUGAGUUUGUCCCAGAUAGCAUCUACGAUCUGAACUGUCUUAAAACUCUCAGUUUUUAUGGCUGUUUGAAAAUUAAAAGCCUGCCUCCCUUCUCGAUCGGUUUGUGCUCUUUGGAAGAACUAAACCUCGGUUACUGCAAUAUAUUACAAGCCCCAGAUCCCCUCGUUUGUUUAACGUCAUUAAGAUCUUUAAAUCUAAGUGGAACCAGGAUUCAGAGCUUACCUGCAAGCAUCAAACAAGCUUCUCAGCUGCGUUACCUGUGGUUAACAAAUUGCAAGAGACUUCCAUCUUUACCUGAGCUCCCUGUGCUGCGUCAUCUUGAAGCACAUGGCUGCACGUCAUUGAAGAAUGCUUGGAGGAAUAUGAUGGGUGAAGCACAGCUUAGAAUUAUGCAAAUGUCAACUGCGUCAUCAAACCCUACAGAUGAUGUAUAUUAUGGUUAUGGUCCUGCAAUUCCUUCAGUUAGCAUUGUUUGUCCAGGAAAUGAAAUUCCAACAUGGUUCAGCUAUCAAAACGAGGGAUCUUCAAUAAAUAUCACCCUUCCUCCAAAUUGGUUUCGUACAGAUUUAUUGGGUUUAGCUCUAUCCCUUGUCGUUGAAUUCAACAACUAUAAUGUUAAACGGGCGGGUUUUGCAUGUACAGCCAAUUUCAAAUCCAGUAAUGGUGAAGGCCAUGAAAUCAGUUGUCAUUUGCAUCGUCUGUAUAAGGGUAUAAGCAGCUCUGGGCGGAACAAUUUAAAUUCAGAUUAUGUGUUUGCAUGGUAUACUGCAUCCAUGCUUGUAGCCGCAGCAAGAUAUUCCAGUGGCACUGGUUUUGACAAUGUCACUGAGGCCUCUGUUGAUUUCUUCCUGAUGGAUUUAAACGGGUUUCCCCUUAAGGAUUACAAAGUUCAGGUGAAGAAGUGUGGGUUGUGGUUGCUGUACGCUGAAGAUGAGAAUUUGAUGUCAUGCUGAGAAAUUUUCUGCUCUAACUUGGAACAAGAAGAUGAACUACUUCCGCAGCUCUAAGCGAGUGUUAGUGCUGUGGCUGUAGCUGAGGAUGCUUUUGGGUUUGUCAAGCCUAGGGAUGCCCCAGAAUUGCUGAUAAAUGUAUGUAUUCACUCGCCUACAGAAUGAUUAAUAUUUGAUUCUUUGGAGGUAAUCCUCGUAACAAAUGAACCAGGGAACCACUUACAAUGCAACUUAAGAGCUCCAAGGGCCUAAGCCAACAAAAAGGACAAUACAUCAAAAGAGAAAGAAAAAAAAAAACACAAAGCUACUCGAUGAACACA